GGUGGUGCGAGAGCUUUUCAUCUUGUUAUUUUCCUGGCAAGCCUGGGAGUGCAGGCUCACACGGAGACCUUUACAACGGCAGCAGGAGAUAUUAGCUGGGAGUGUAAGAGAAUUGGAUGUGACUAUUGGAAGCAAGCGGUUCUUGCCACUGUGUUCCCCUGGGGCUUGAAGCUUGCUUUCUUUUCAUCCUUUCUGAACACUUCUUUUCUAAGUUCACAGUGUCUCUUCAGCUUCCUCUAAGCAGAGAACAAACCUGUCUCCUCUCAGGGCUCCAGA